rnacentral:misc_RNA from 1 species
UAAUAAGUGUUUUUAUGGCACUUUUUUUAAAUCCAUAUCCACCUUGUGCGCAAUGUCAGUCCGAUCUUCUUCAUGGAGAUCGACCAAACAUCAACCUUUAUUUUUUAACUCUUUGUCCUGAAAAAUAUUAUGAAUAAACAACUUCAAAAUA